rnacentral:lncRNA from 1 species
GAAUUGUAAACCUAGCUAGAGGUUGGGAGAAGAUUUGCAUCUCAAAUGGUCAAAGGAAGAAUUCACACUGGAGAAUUUUCUAAAGUAAAUGUUCUAAGAAAAGGCAGGACAGGGUCCUAUGAUCAGGAAGAAACUGUCACAAGUUUGGUCAAGCUGAAGGGAACAUUAAGGCUAUCUGGCUCUGGUUUGUGAAAAGCUAACUUCUAUUUGCUUGGGAAAUCUAGGACCCUCAAGGAGGAGUCUCUCUCUGUGGCCACCACAGUUGGAGAUGUGCUGGGUCACCCUUAAAACCAGUAUGGCUCUGAGUCUCACCCAAGACCCCUGGUCCAGAAAAUGGAGCAAUAAUGUCUCAAAAGAGAAAUUGUUUUCAGCUGGAGCUACGGCUUGGAAAACCAGAUGGUUUUCAGCAAAAACUGAAAACUCAACAAGUCAACUGUUCGGGCCCUUUCCUGCUUCUCACCAUCUGGCCACCUGUUGUGGAGCUCAUCUCAUUUUGGGAAUGAUUCCACCUGAUCUAGGGUGCUCAAAUUUGCCAUCACCAAUAUGGGCAGCCUAA